rnacentral:rRNA from 1 species
GAUGAACGUUGGCGGUGUGCCUUAUGCAUGCAAGUCGAACGGGGAUAUGACUUUCGGGUUAUAUUCUAGUGGCGAACGGCUGAGUAACGCGUAAGUAACCUGCCCUCGAGUGGGGAAUAACUUGUCGAAAGGCAAGCUAAUACCGCAUGAAGUAACCAGAAGUAUGUUUGGUUACCAAAGUCUUCGGAUGCUCGAAGAGGGGCUUGCGUCUGAUUAGCUAGUUGGUGAGGUGAUGGCUUACCAAGGCGAUGAUCAGUAGCUGGUCUGAGAGGAUGGUCAGCCAGAUAGGGACUGAGACACGGCCCUGACUCCUACGGGAGGCAGCAGCAGGGAAUAUUGGACAAUGGGCGAAAGCCUGAUCCAGCGACACCGCGUGAGGGAAGAAGGCCUUCGGGUUGUAAACCUCUUUUCUCUGGGAAGAAAUUUGACGGUACCAGAGGAAUAAGCCUCGGCUAAUUACGUGCCAGCAGCCGCGGUAAAACGUGGGAGGCAAACGUUAUCCGGAUUUACUGGGCGUAAAGGGAGUGUAGGCGGUUCUUUAAGUCAGAUGUGAAAUUCCUUGACUCAAUCAAGAAAAGUCAUUUGAAACUGAGGGACUUGAGGGCGGCAGAAGGAAACGGAAUUCCCGGUGUAGCGGUGAAAUGCGUUGAUACCGGGAAGAACACCAGUGGCGAAGGCGGUUUCCUAGGCUGUUUCUGACGCUGAGGCUCGAAAGCGUGGGGAGCGAAGCGGAUUAGAUACCCGCGUAGUCCACGCCCUAAACGGUGGACACUAGAUAUGGGGAGUAUCGACCCUCCUCGUGUCGAAGCUAACGCUUUAAGUGUCCCGCCUGGGGACUACGAUCGCAAGAUUAAAACUCAAAGGAAUUGACGG